CCUGGCCGGCCAGGAAGAGACACCAGCAAUGACAGACAGGCGCAGGAGGCCUGUAAGGCAAGAGCGGAGCUGUCCAGCCGUCCAGCCCAGGUGGGCUCACAACAUCUGCUUCCAUGUUGCAGAGGAGGCCUUGGUCCAUGGUUAUCCUCACGUUCAUGUAUGAACUCUGCAGCCCAGAGAAGACUUGACAAAGCUGGGGGGCCACUGUGCCUGUAGGCUCCCCUUCUGGGGGGCCACCACUCAGCCCACCUAAGGAAUUACACACAGGGCAUGGUCCUGUGUCAGCCAGCCUUCACCAGCACCCCUCAUCCCUCCCACCAUGCGGACCAUCAGAAUCAAAGCCCAUGGUCAGGCUGGAAUCCUGAACUUCUCUCUCCCCCAAAAUACCUACCUUGAAAGAAAUUUUGCAAAUCAAAUCAUAAGCGCAUUAGAGUUAAUUAUAUACUAUUAAAUUCACUGCUGUGGCAAAGCCUUGGAAAAUGAAGAAUCUUUUUCUAAUUAAAAUAAACAAAUUUCAGUUCA
ensembl:lncRNA